AAUCCAUGUUGAGGGCAGCGUCGAAUCUUUAUACCUUUCCCAUGCUUCAUAGAGUGACUCAAAAUCAUUUUGCUUGAAUUGACCAAUCUCACUUUUGAGUUA